AUAGUAUCUGAAGAGAGCUGCUGCACCAACGAAUUCUUGCUAUUGCUACCACACGAUAUCCGGUUCACCAUCAAAGCUGUGUUACCAUAUUAAACUCCGGUCCUGA